rnacentral:lncRNA from 1 species
GUUCAGCAUUCUGCAGACAAAACACUUGAAAUUUCCUCUGCUUCCAGGGGUUACUGGGAUUCCCUUGGUGCGCAACUUGCUUACCUUAGGGACUGAACAAAGAGUGCUGAACACCAGAGGAAGGAGGCACUGAAAGAUCUUUUCCACAGGAGCAACAGUCUUCAGUGCAGUAGCUUUUUGAGACCUGUUGACAAGGCUCAAGGUGGAAUGCUGCAUGCAAAACCAAGAUGCUAUGGAGGAGUAAUAGCAUCUGUUCCUCCAAAUGUUGUUUUUCUGCUUCAGCUUGCCUGAAACACAAAAUCUACUGAACAUUCAGAUGGAUACAUGAGGAAAACGCCACAAUGUCAAUAAAAUAUUAAACCUCAAAUUAGAGAUUAUUUUG